CGGGUGAGUAACACGUGGAUAACCUACCUAUAAGACUGGGAUAACUUCGGGAAACCGGAGCUAAUGCCGGAUAAUAUAUUGAACCGCAUGGUUCAAUAGUGAAAGACGGUUUUGCUGUCACUUAUAGAUGGAUCCGCGCCGCAUUAGCUAGUUGGUAAGGUAACGGCUUACCAAGGCAACGAUGCGUAGCCGACCUGAGAGGGUGAUCGGCCACACUGGAACUGAGACACGGUCCAG
rnacentral:rRNA from 1 species